GAGACUGGAGGUGAAGCAGCUAAGGAAGGAUUGCAGAUUCCCAGCAGAGGCAUGUGAGGGUGUUUUUGUGUGACAUGAUGUACCUGGUGACAGCAGGCACCAGCACACAGGUCAUGGCACUACCUGAGAUGUGACACAGGCUACUUGUGCAUCAGAGCAGAGGGAAAGAGACCCUGGAGAACUGCGAAUCAACAGCUCAUCCAUCAGACACACACAGAAGAGGGAGCCACAGGCUUGUUGGGUGUUCAGUGGGAUGGGAAACAGCAAUUAGGCUGUAAUUAAGCAGCAGUAGCACUGAUAAAGAAGUGCCAGAGGCUAUUGCCUUCUAACAAGGCUUCUGAUAGAAAGCCACAGCCCAUAAAAGUCAAAUCUUUUCCAAGGUCAGAGUUUCUGAAACCUUGGUAGGCACAAAUCUGCCACUAAAAUCUGGUGAAAUGGAGUGAGCAUUUUAGGAAGUAUUAAAUACAACACUUCGGUGGUCCUCUCAGCACAAGCUUCUUUUUCUAAAUAAUUCAACAUAAAUUUACCUUCCUUUUCAGAAUUUUCAGAGGGAGAGGCCUCUGCAUUCUGCUAGACCCCUCUGAUUUCCCUGUCCCUGUAAGGUGGGUCACGCAGUCCAGGCUGGUCCCUUCACAGUACAGGUAUAGAAAUCAACACGUUAGAAACCAAAAGCUAUUGCACCAUAAAAAAAGCCUUCAAAUUUGAGCAACUUCCAGCUUUAUUGGCCACCUUAUUUUAAAUUACACUUAGAGAAAUUCUUGUUGACACAUUCAUGAGGAGGUAAGUCACUCAUUUAAUCACUUAAAGUAUUAAAGACUCUGGUUUCCUGAGACUUGCCUGUUCUGCAGUGCAAACACCUGCUUGUCAGGAGAACAGAAUUCAAAAGCAGAAAGUGUUGUUUUUUGUACAAACACUGAAGACUCCAAAUUGUUUUUACCUCUUCUUUGAAUAAACAGUAUUACUUCUGCUUCUGGAGAAGAGCAGGAUCUGGUUAGGUGUAUAUAAAAGUGUCCUCUACCAGUCUGAACAACACACACUUGGCUCCCUGGAAACAAAGAGAGAGGCUUCAAAAGUGUCUGAUUAGCUGUUAGCCUGUUUUCUUGGCAGUUUCCAACUUUUCUUUUUCUUUAAACCAGCCACUUCUGGAGUUCUUGUGUGAAAGACAAUUGAGCAGAGAAACGCUUUGAUAUCAAAGUGCAGUGAAGGUUUCUGGGAAUACUACUACAAAAUUAGGGAGUGUAGUGGUUACUACAUGUGCUUUUUAAGAAGAAAGAGAGAGGUGCUUGAAUUUGAAAUUGGGAUUAUCGUACAGUUGCUCAUUGCUGCAGUCUCUUCCCAGUGAUGUCUGUCAGGUAACAGGUAAUUACAUGGAACUUGUCAGGCAAUUUGCUGGCUAACAUAAUUGAAUUCAAUUUCAAACAUGUGAUCAGCUCCUUUAGAGAUUUGAGACAAAUAUUUCAACCUGUGUGAAAGAGACCUUUUACUGUGUAAAGAAAACAUUCAGAGAACCAGGGAUAACCACACGUCAUAGUUCAACUGGCAAACUGCACAAGUCACUAGCUGAAUGCUUGGUGCCUAGAUUUGACAUGCAAAACCUCAGCUUUUUUGGUGAUUCACUUCAGGGCAUGAGAAGGAUUUUCAGUUUAUUAAUAAUAAUUUCACAAUUGGGAAGUUGAGAGAAGGGAAAAAAGCCCUUUUUUUUUGUUUUUUUUAAUCAACCCAUGAAAGAGGACUGAGGCAGAGACCUGUUUCUGAGAUUGUGUUGAUUUGUGGUCAGAAAUCUGAUCAAUUUUGCAACACAUUGCUUCAAAAUGGAUUCAUAAUCUUACAUGUACGGGAUUUUUAAGGCUUAUUUUUUAUUGCUUUUUAAAAGCUGUAUUUGUGCACUAUACAACUAAUUUCUGUUCCAUAGUUUCAGUAGCAAAGUAGGAAUUGGGGGAGGGCGGGAUAUCAUAUUCAUGUUAUUGUGACACCAGAGUCUGGAAAACAUAGCAAUAGAUGAUUACUUUUCUUUGCAGACUGGUACCAGUAGCAGAAAUAUAAGUAACUAUAAGUCUAGAUUUAGCAGAAAAGAGAAAGUUAACCUUGUCUGAAAAAUGAAGAAAAGACCAGUCAUCAGAGUAAAAGCUAACACAUAAAUGGAACAUUAAUGACUUAAAUUUAUAUUCCAUGCUUGCUGAUUUUAUUUUUAAGUCACUGAUGUUAAUGGGGGUAUAAAUCACUUAAACUCAUCCUUCUACCUUUACCUUGUAAUUCAAAGCAAUGAAAAUUGGUGAUGAAAAAAUAUACUGGAGGGAGCAGAGAUGUGUUUUCCCUUGCCAUUUGUGUGUAACAGGUCAUUCUGCCCUGGUGAAGCCUUGUGCCUUCAUGCUCUUCUGAUCAGUACAGUACAGCUUAGUCUCCAGUCUAUUGUUCUGUAAAGCUUAUGGAGCGUUCUAUUUCAGCAUGUUCUCUUGAUUGAGUUUCUGUUGUUCUCAUUAAUAAAUGUGUAUUCGCACUACUCGCUGUUUCAUAAAGCUCUUUGAUAAAGACUCAACUGUUCCAACAUGGCUGUGUUUUUUCUCACCAUAAAAUAAUGUCUGUUGAUGGAAUCACUACAAAAAGGAGAAUAAAUUUUCCUUCUAGAAUUAGCUGCCCAUGGACCAACAAUUGUUGUAUUGUAGUAGUGUCUACAUUGUAUUGUAGUGUCUUCAUUCAAUAGCUUUGAUCCGAAUCUUGAGCCAUAAAGUUAUUCACUCCUGGCUUACUGCAGUGCUGGUAAGAGGCUGAAAUUUGGGGGAAGUCUGAGGCCUGGAAAUCCUUCUCUUAGCAUCACCAUAGACACAGUACAGUGUCCUGUGUGAAACUGGGGGGAAAGAGUCACAGUUGUGCACAGAGCAGGCAUGGUUUUCCAAGGAACCUCUCUUGUGGAGUCAGCAAAUUUUUAGCAGUAAACACAUUCAUGAUUCAAAGGCUGAUUGAUCUGAGGAAGUGAAGCCUUCCUGGAUUUUCUCCGUAAGAAUUAAAAACCUUGAGUGGAUUGUACAGAGCAGAUAAGGAAGAGAACUGGGUGUAAAGAGCUGGAAUUCCAAACCACCAAGAGUGAGUUUGUCUUUCCAAAACUUCAAGCAGAGAAUGGUCCUGACUCGUGGUAGUGGUGUUCUUCCAGUUUUCUGACUGGGUUAGCUUUCACCUGCCGUGGUGGGAAGCUGCUCUUUUUGUAAGAGCAGCUCAGUCCAGGCCUGGAUAGUCAUUACCCUGCUUCAUGUAGCAUGACUUUUAGUUGAAGUGGUGCAGGUCAAAUCAUAGUCUCUGACACUGCCAGUUCCCUGUUUGCCACAAUAUGGCUGUGAGUCUUUAAAAGCACUCAACAGUUCAGUUCUGGGUGUGGGAAAGGAUUCUGCCACAGGGUUACUUUGCACACUGAUCACCAGGAAGAUGUUCCUAAAGGACUUAAAUGGAGUGCGUUUGAUAUAGGCCAUUAAGAUUUGUGGAUUCUGCAAUAAUAUUUUUAGAACUGAUUUCCAAAUGUAGAGCCAUGCUUUAAUUUCUAUGGAGGACUGGUUGGGUGACCCUUGUAAAUGCAUGAUUUGGCUUGAAAGAAGCACAUCUGUAUCUAAUGAGUCUAAUUAGAAAUUUAAAAACUGCAUUUUAAUGGCUUCGGGUGAGUAGAAGAGGACUUUAAUACAGAGGCUGUGUCUUGAUGUAUAUGUGGUAGGGAAGGAUAAAGAAAACGUGGCCUUGUGAAAUCUCUCACUAAUAUUUUCCAGUUUUUUAGGCAUGUGCACAAAAUCCCACAAAAUUUGAGUUAUUCGGUGUUGUUCAGAUUUCUGGAGAUAAAUGCUCUUACACUCUUCCCUCAUCUUGGCUGGAAUGCAGGUGAAUGUCCAGAAUGCCACUGGUAUGCCCCGCUUAGCUGUGGGACUUGGAUGAAAUGGAAGAUGUGUUUAGAAGAAGAACAGUAUUGGAGAAACCUGCACUAGUGUUUCAGAACCUUUAAAUGAGUCAGCUACCACCACAUCAUAACAGAAUACAGCCCCUCACGUCCUGCUGUCCUCCAUUGUCGUUAGCAAAGUUCCUUCUUUUCUUUUUAUGAAUUAAUUUCAAAAUCUAAAUCAAAAUAAAAAUUCAUUCACCUCUGCAGCUCUGA